AUGGCAUACAAAAUCUUCUUGAGUGCCCACUUCAUGAAGAAACGUGGCCAAGUGCAAGACAGAACUGAACUUGCACUGUCUGCCAGUUGUGAUCCAGAUCUGAGCUUGAAGUCAGCCUCUCAGCAAGACUUGCUAACUUGGGUAUCACACUGUACUCACAGCAGUUUCCAGUUCGGAGCUGGAUGGCAUCCAGUUGAGUUGAAGCAUAGGCAGAAGGACUUGGUUUGUCAGCAGAAGGCUAUAUGGACUUGCUCCAAAUGUGCUGAAGCAUUUUCUUCUCACGUGUUCCAGGAGUACACGUUGUCUGCUGCCUUAUCGCAAAAAUGGAACCAGCCUUCUCUGACCUGUAAGAUCACUAACAUCACUGCUUACCUCUGUGCUCUUUCUUGGUAUAAACAUACCACUUUUCAGAAUGGCAGUUUUGUUGUGGAUAUUUUGGACACCUAAGGUAUGCAUAAAGCAUUCAGAUUUCAUAUCCAACUGCAAAACAAGUCACUGUAACUACAGUCUGAGAGUGCAUAUUAGAACAUAAGUCCUACGUGCGUGUCAGUGACUCUCUUCCCUAUUUUUCUGCUGCAUUUUUUUGGGCUUAGUUUGGCAUUUGUUUGCCAGUGAGUAAUUCUCUCUCUGAAGCAAGUCAGAAAGCCAUUAAAUUUUCCUUUCUUCAAAAAAAUUAUUUCUCUUUACAGGCUCUAAUAUUUGUUUGUGGUUCUAUUGUCUCUCUAGUUCACAAGGAUCACUCAUUUCCAGUUUUGCCAUGGCUGAUUUUUUCCAGUGUAUUUUGUAUCCCUCUUCAUAUCUCUCUGAUAUGAGGAAUAUUUGGAAAAAUCUGAGCAAAUUGCUCUACUUUGAGAAACAAUUCAAGAGUCAGUCAAUCGGUGAGACAGAGCUACAAAAACCAAAAACCACAGCCAACUCUAGAGACAACGAAUUCUCUUCAGCCUGCUCUGUGGUCUCCAGGAAAGAUUUUGACCUGGCCCUGACGCUAACUCUAACCAUCCUUCAGUAACUGAGCCCCAAAAAAGAUGCAUUGUUCGACAACUGUUAAAACUGCUCAGGUGUAGUAUUUUAAAGUACCAUCUGUAGAAGAGCGGGAUAUAUUUUUUAUGGUUUUAUCUCUACAUAUUAAAAAUAUUGUUUUUUGGUUUUUUUUAGAACAUCAUAACUCCCUGAAGACUAGCACACAUUCAAACAGAGUCUGUAUUUGAAGGUUUUGCUUACUAGAUCUGCCACUUAUGUAGUGGAAACUUCCAGGAGAAACAAAUCAACGAGCAAAAAAAUCAAAAACCUAACAAAACGAGAGAUAAGCAAGAAAAAAAGUCUGUGUCAUGCCUAAGAAGCCUAAAGUAAGCAGUAACUCAGACAAUAUAAAACCCACAGUCAUACAUCACAAAUAUGUAAUCCUUACCUCUGCAGCUGAUUAUCCUUGAUAAGCAAUAGUAAUUUAACUUAGGUAUGUGACUAGACUGGUUAUCUGUAAUGGCAGAAGAAUUCAUUUAUGUCUCAAAAAAUAAUUGGCUUCAGAUUCUGCUCCUUGGAAAUUUUAUACCUGUGUAGGAGUCAGGCCAACAGUCAUUGUGAGUGGCAGAGAAAUGUUCUUCCUUUGGCACUCUGCUCUGCUCUGAGUACAGUCGGUUUUUGCUUUUCCCUUUUGUUUGAGUCUGAAGGUUGUCUGAUUUAUUUCAAACUAUUUUUGUUUGCCUAAAGGUUGGAAAAUGGGAAAAGUCUCCCACAUGCCUCCCUGUAGGAAAAUGAAUUCUUGUCCUCCUUUCCUUUACAUUUCCAGGGCCUAUUCCACCGUUGCACAAUUAACAAAUGUAACAAAUCUCAGUAUCUUCAAAUCAAGAUGAGUAAAGUCUCUUUGUGAAGUCUGAAGUGUGACACCAGAGUGCUGCUAAUAAACUGAAACGUGGAUUUAUGCUAAGCUGGAAUCCUUUCAAGCUAAGCAUUUUUAAAAGCUGGAAAGUAGAUGCUAGUGUCCCUAGAGUAAAGCCUGCAAAAUAUAUUCCAUAACUGCAAAGCCAUUACUAUAGCUUCCCACUGAUUUGAAGACACACAGGAACUGGUACACUCAUAAACAGAACCAUUUUUACAGUCACUUUUCUGACUGUAACAAUAAUAUAAGAUCUACUGUAUAAAAAUGCACUGGGAAGUUAAUUUUUCAUUGACAUGAAGUUUAAUAACUAAAAUAUUUCUCAUAUAAAUAUACACAUGUAAAAUAAACAGACAGACUAACAGACCCCAGCAGCAUAUUACUAAUUUUUAUACAAAAAUGUAUACACAUGUACAUUAAGUGCAUUAAAAUGCCAUAAGAAGUAUCUUAGGAAUGGAAAAAGAAAAAAGACAUUGCAGUCAGAUAACCAUAGUCAGUAAAUGAAUAAGACAAUAAUGUUACUGUCUGCAAAAAGAGGUCUUUCACAGAACUUAUUUUUCUUCUUAGUAAAUUUCAUUUCAGACAGGAUUUUCAGAUUCAGUUUGGUUGUUUUCGUUUGUUUGUGUUUUGUUGUUGUUUGCAUGUUUGUUUGUUUAAGUGUUUCAUGGGUUUCUUGUGAGGAUCCAAGUUGUGACAUAAAAAAACCCACACUUUCUUCUUGCACCAUGAGAAAAGGGCUGUUGGUCCGAUUUGCCAAGAAAGCCACGAAGGAGAAAUAUUUGUUUUGAUUAAGCUGCAAUGACUGUAGAGAGACUAAGGAAGAGCAGUCUGGAAUAAAUUGAUAGUUUUACCCUAAAAAAAUUUUGAAGGCAGGUACACCUCGGUGAAAAUCACUGUGGACAUUUACUUCUGCACUGUUUUGCGUCCUUUCUGCUCCUGUGUGAGCAUUCACGUAACCCACCUGUGCAAACUUUGCAGUAUUCCAACACUACCUCCAUCACUUCCAAAAAUUGAAGGUGAUGCUCACCUCCAUGCAGUUCCCUGACUGUAAUCCACUGAUACGUAUAAAUUGAGAUGCUCUUUGUUUUGCAUUGUAACAGCUGUGCAUGGCCAUCCAGAAUGUGGCUUGUUCUUCAUAUCACAUCACCAUUGCUGAAAUGCACCACCCACUGCUUCACACCCACUGUUUGGUCUCCUAUUUGCAAAGUGGAGAGAUCUUGAGAGAUCUGGAGAUGAAAUGUCACCAGUGUAUUGUCUGAAACAUUUGCCUGCAUUUUCUCCACCAUCCAGUCUAGGUUAGAGAAUUAAUACUAGAUGUAGAAACAAAGGAAAUAGAUAUCGACUCUUACUCACUGAGUUCAGCAGCUGGGACUGAAAGGUUCUUUGUUUGUACAAUGUAUGUGUUUCUAGAACGUGCCGUAUUGUAUCACAUUUCACCUGCUUUCACAUGAGCAUCCUGCAGGUUUAGCUAGGCUAUUUUCUAGCUUUUUAUCACUUUUUAUUUAAGAUCAUUCCCACAGUCAAACAAUAUUGUUAUCCUUAGAAAAACAUGCUUGAGAGGAUCCAUUAAAAAUAGAAAAUAAAAGCAGGUUGCUUUGAAGAUAAGCCUGUGGUGCAGACCAAUAUAAACACAAAUCCAGAUGUUUCAGAAAGUUAAUGUGAAGAAAAACUCUGUAGUCUUUAUUUACACUUUAUAACAAAUAUUUUACUAGGUGGAAGUAAAGAAUGUUGACAUUUCACCACUUAGACCCCAGUCAGAACAAUGUCCUCGAUACUAAAAUGUCAACAUUCAUUGCAAAGUUUCCGCCACAUCAGUGCGCUAGGACACACAUCUGGCAUCUUUCUUUCUCUCUCUCUCUUAUUUUCUUCUUUCUCUCCCUUCUUUUUUUUCCUGCUAACUUACAGAUGUGGAAAUUGGAAAGAAAGAUAAUUCUCACUUCUCUCAACCAGUCCUCUGCAUUUAGCUUUCUAUUCACCUAUCUAGAAGAUAAUAUGAAGAAGAGAAAAAAAACACACAUAAACAAAAAAAAAAAAAAGACUAACGAGAAGACAAUCUAAUCUUAUGUGCACAGGCUAUGUGCAGAACUCCAUGUUAUCUGUAACUGAUAAUCCUUACAAUCCUUUAAGGCUCUGGGUUUUUGUAUUGUAAUAUGUAGUUAUCCUUGCGAUUUGUAACUCGAGUGGCAAUCCUGCCCACAGCACAGAGCUUGAAGGUGCCUUCCAACCUUCCAUUCGGUGAUUGUAUGAUUACCGAAUCUGUAAUUCUUACAGAUGGACACACAUCAGGUAAAAAACUGACCUCCACGGUUAAAAACUAUUAGAGAAACGCUUCCGUUUUGUCUCGUUUGUGUGUCAAACUCACACAAAACAGCCAUUCAGCCUUUCCAGGGACAUCUGGUAGCAUAUUCAGUCUAUUUCUUCUGCCCAAACCUUUUCUGUUUUGAGGAGUAUAUGGCUUUCCUGCUUUGCUCUAUUUCUACAAAUAUGGCAAAUUCAACAGUUUCCAGUACUGACUGGGGAGCAGAUUUUGCUUUUUGGUUUGAAGAAGAAGGAGUAAAAAAUUGUUGUCUUUGUAUGAGCUGUGAAAAUGAAAACAUGAGGCUUGGUCCCAGUGUACAGUCUUUUGUUAUGUGUUUAUCAUUUUAUCAUCUCUGUGUAUAUUUUCCCUGAUAACUUGGCUGCCUGAAUUACCUGUUAGUGACAUCUGCGUUUCCGAAAUCUCAGUAUUCCAUUUGCAAACAGAAGUUGAAACAACCCCCAGGAGUCCAUUAUCUUGUAGGUAUGAAUUCUUCUGAAUAGAUCUGGAGGACUCACUCCUAUUUUAACUGUGAGAAAUUUCCUGAAAGAAAAAGAAAUCCAUAGUUUGAGGUUAUUUCUAGCAUAUUAGAAACAGAAAAUGUUAUGAGAAUUAUCUACACGUUUGUCUUUCUGCUAUGAUUUGUUUUGCUUUGUCAGUUUGCAAUCUGGAAAAAAAGAAAAAAGAGAAAAAUACUGUCAUAUACAGAUUUUUCCAUGUUAACUAGUGA
ensembl:lncRNA